CUCUUUGUGGUGUUGCAAUGCACAAUAGCCUUUCACGCUAUAGGGGCCUGGUUAGGGGCCAAAGGGU
rnacentral:tRNA from 1 species